AACGAACGCUGGCGGCAUGCCUAACACAUGCAAGUCGAACGAGACCUUCGGGUCUAGUGGCGCACGGGUGCGUAACGCGUGGGAACCUGCCCUUAGGUUCGGAAUAACUCCCCGAAAGGGGUGCUAAUACCGGAUAAUGUCUUCGGACCAAAGAUUUAUCGCCUUUGGAUGGGCCCGCGUUGGAUUAGCUAGUUGGUAGGGUAAAAGCCUACCAAGGCGACGAUCCAUAGCUGGUCUGAGAGGAUGAUCAGCCACACUGGGACUGAGACACGGCCCAGACUCCUACGGGAGGCAGAAGUGGGGAAUAUUGGACAAUGGGCGAAAGACUGAUCCAGCAAUGCCGCGUGAGUGAUGAAGGCCUUAGGGUUGUAAAGCUCUUUUACCCGGGAUGAUAAUGACAGUACCGGGAGAAUAAGCGCCGGCUAACUCCGUG
rnacentral:rRNA from 1 species